rnacentral:rRNA from 1 species
UACGGAGGGUGCAAGCGCUAUCCGGAUUCACUGGGUUUAAAGGGUGCGUAGGUGGGCAGGUAAGUCAGUGGUGAAAUCUCCGGGCUUAACUCGGAAACUGCCAUUGAUACUAUCUGUCUUGAAUACCGUGGAGGUUAGCGGAAUAUGUCAUGUAGCGGUGAAAUGCUUAGAUAUGACAUAGAACACCAAUUGCGAAGGCAGCUGGCUACACGAAUAUUGACACUGAUGCACGAAAGCGUGGGGAUCAAACAGG